rnacentral:antisense_RNA from 1 species
UUUUUUUUUUUUUUUUUUGUCAUUUUUUGGUUAUGCCAGGUGUCUCCUGUGUGUCCCUCCAGAUCCCUCUCCAGCCCUAGAAACCUAAGCUCUAUAAAUGUUGCCUCUCUCCACUCAUCUUCUCUUUGGCUUCAGGUUGAGUUCAGCCAACAGAUGCCCCUGUAGGAUUUGGACACAGGGAGCCAGGGGAGAGGGGCAUCUGCUGCCUGGUUAGCAGGGCUGUGAUGAUUCUUCUACCUGUGACUCUCACUGCUGUGGACAGCCCGUUGCCUCUUCCUCUGGAUUUUGGAAGCUUCCAUGCCGAGGUCUGAAGGUUCCCACGGCUGCCUCUUUGCCCAAGGGGCAAACUUUCCAUCAGGGCAUCUUCUGUGCCUCUGAGGAUCAUUUGCCAAUUAUAGGCAAUGGUAGUACGUGUUUCAGUGCAGAAUGAGAUACAGUCAUUUAAUUUGACAAUAAAGCGAUGCAUCAAAAACCUCAGUCAACACAGUAAGUGUUUUCUUGUUUUCCUGCUGACCAACCUAAUUCUGGUUUCAUACAGGGCAGCCAGGUGUCCACCUAAAAGACUGCACUUCUCAACUUCCAGUUGUUUCUAUGGAUAAUGGUUGGAAGCAGAAAUUGGGUUUGGGCUUCCAGAUAAUCCCCCCUCACAGGGACUGCUUCAAGAGAAAGGGAGCCCUUUGGUUCUUUCUCCUUUCCACUGCCUGGAAUGUGAUGUCUGGCACUGUGGCAGCCACACUGGCGUAAUGAGGCCAACUCUCUGCCAUGCUAAGAGUGGCAGAGCUGGGAAUUGAAAAGAGCCUGCUAGUCUUGGGUUGCUUCCCCUUGA